CGCCACUCAGCUGAAGAGAAAUGAAGCUGGCCCGGUUACAGCACAGCAAUUAGAUUUCAGAACACAACAAGUAUUUUAAUUGCAGUUGGUUUAUUCCGGGACACGUACCCGCGUCAAGACCGUGCGACAUUCAAUCAUGUAUUUGACAUCUAUCGCGCCGACUUUGUCCGUAAUAUAAGCCUGCGUCCAUUGCAGAAAGGUCACAUUUUAGAAUUUCGGCGAAUGAACAUCAUUGGAACAAAGGCGAGAGCAGCCGCAAUUAAUGGGGAUUUUUGUGAGAAAAUUGAAAUUACUAUUACUUACAACAGGCUGCGAUGCCGCGUCAUUAGUGUGCUCCAUUGCUGCUAUCAGAACCUUCUCUGAAGUGGUGAAUUGUUGUGAACGUUUGCGCGAGAAGUCAGGAGCAUUUAUCUGGAGUUGCAAAAUGUGAAGAAAAAGAUCAUGGAACACAAAAACAUUGAAUUGGUUGAUUUCAAAGAAGACCGUAAUUACACGAAGAAACCCAUAAAGCCAUUAAGACGUCUAGCCAGUUGUGGGGUUUAUCGUAUCCCGUUCCUUCCUGUUUUAAAGUACUGUACGCAAAAUUGUGGCAAUAGAUGGCGUUGGAAUUCAACACCUCUGGACACGACACGUUUUCAGGGAACUUCUUCAAAAAGAACAUGGUUCUAAUUUGAGAAAUCAUGCCUUUGUUUCUGGUGGAAUAUCUAACUGAGAUAGUGACGUGAAAUAAAAUCAAGCUUUCGAACUGUUUGUGCUUUGUGGCCAUGUAUGGGUCGAUUAUACCUCCUCCUUAUACAAUGUCUUCUCAAUAAUACUGCGGUUGUUUGUACUUAUAUUCUUACUUGACUAAUACAACAUAUGUAUCGGUGACAAUGAUUAGGUCUUGCAGAUGAAUAACAUUUAUAA